UACGGGGGGGGCAAGCGUUGUUCGGAUUCAUUGGGCGUAAAGGGUGCGUAGGCGGCUCGGUAAGUCGGGUGUGAAAUCUCGGAGCUUAACUCCGAAACUGCAUUCGAUACUGCCGUGCUUGAGGACUGGAGAGGAGACUGGAAUUCCUGGUGUAGCGGUGAAAUGCGCAGAUAUCAGGAAGAACACCAAUGGCGAAGGCAGCUCUCUGGGACGGUACUGACGCUGAGACGCGAAAGCGUGGGGAGCGAACAGG
rnacentral:rRNA from 1 species